UCCGGGAUCGUCCAAUCGGCAGGACAUACGGCUCUGGACCGUAGAAUCGAGGUUCGAAUCCUUGUCCCGGAGCCA
rnacentral:tRNA from 1 species